rnacentral:rRNA from 1 species
UACGUAGGGUCCGAGCGUUGUCCGGAAUUACUGGGCGUAAAGCGCGCGCAGGCGGUCCUUUAGUCGGGGGAUGGAAGACCCAGAGCUCAACUCUGGAACUGCCUUCGAAACUAGAGGACUUGGGUACGGGAGAGGUGAGUGGAAUUCCGAGUGUAGAGGUGAAAUUCGUAGAUAUUCGGAAGAACACCAGUGGCGAAGGCGGCUCACUGGCCCGUUACCGACGCUCAGGCGCGACAGCGUGGGGAGCAAACAGG